CUUUAUUCAGACUGCCCAGAUCAACUGGGAGGAAGGUGGGGAUGACGUCAGGUCAGUAUGGCCCUUACGCCUAGGGCUGCACACGUACUACAAUGCUCAGUACAAUGAGAACCGAUACCGCGAGGUGGAGGAAAUCUACAAAACUGGGCUCAGUUCGGAUUGGAGGCUGCAACUCGCCUCCAUGAAGUCGGAAUCGCUAGUAAUGGCACAUCAGCUACGGUGCCGUGAAUACGUUCCCGGGUCUU
rnacentral:rRNA from 1 species